AGCACCAAUAGCGUAUAUUAAAGUUGUUGCAGUUAAAACGCUCGUAGUCGAAGGUUGUGAGGUGUUUAGGGAUGCGUAAGCAUCGACUAAGGAUUUUACCAAUGAGCCUGAGAAGUUCUCAGGGGGUUUUACUUUGAAUAAAUUAGAGUGUUCAAGGCAGGCAUUUGCUUGAAUAGAUUAGCAUGGAAUAAUAGAAUAGGACUUUGGACCUGUUUGUUGGUUUUAAGGACCAAAGUAAUGAUUAAUAGGGAUAGUUGGGGGCAUUAGUAUUUUUGAGCUAGGGGUGAAAUCCAUUUAUUUCCUAAAGACUGACUACUGCGAAAGCAUUUGCCAAGGAUGUUUUCA
rnacentral:rRNA from 1 species